rnacentral:rRNA from 1 species
AUGGAUUUCUUAAUGCAGCCUAUCAAUAGAUUCCAUGUGCUUUCAGAGGUGGAGGACAAUGAAGCAUCCAUGGAUCUGCGACCCUACACGGUGGCUACUUUGGUGGGGGAGCUGGAACAAGCGUCAGUGCCCGUUAAGCUUAGAUCUAGGAUGAAGAAGGAAGAACUUAAGCCAGGUGUCCAAGCAGUCGACCGGCAAGAUGAACCUGCAAGCCCGGGGUGGACUAGGAGAGGGACGUCAAAUUCAUAUCACUGUUCAUGCGCCAUCCGACGGCAGCAAGCAAAGCGCAUGGACACACAGCGUUGUCGGCUUAGAACGGUGAUGCUGCCCAGUCCGACGCGUUGGUGA